UGGGCGUAAAGCGCACGCAGGCGGUCUGUCAAGUCGGAUGUGAAAUCCCCGGGCUCAACCUGGGAACUGCAUUCGAAACUGGCAGGCUAGAGUCUUGUAGAGGGGGGUAGAAUUCCAGGUGUAGCGGUGAAAUGCGUAGAGAUCUGGAGGAAUACCGGUGGCGAAGGCGGCCCCCUGGACAAAGACUGACGCUCAGGUGCGAAAGCGUGGGGAGCAAACAGGAUUAGAUACCCUGGUAGUCCACGCCGUAAACGAUGUCGACUUGGAGGUUGUGCCCUUGAGGCGUGGCUUCCGGAGCUAACGCGUUAAGUCGACCGCCUGGGGAGUACGGCCGCAAGGUUAAAACUCAAAUGAAUUGACGGGGGCCCGCACAAGCGGUGGAGCAUGUGGUUUAAUUCGAUGCAACGCGAAGAACCUUACCUACUCUUGACAUCCAGAGAACUUUGCAGAGAUGCAUUGGUGCCUUCGGGAACUCUGAGACAGGUGCUGCAUGGCUGUCGUCAGCUCGUGUUGUGAAAUGUUGGGUUAAGUCCCGCAACGAGCGCAACCCUUAUCCUUUGUUGCCAGCGGUUAGGCCGGGAACUCAAAGGAGACUGCCAGUGAUA
rnacentral:rRNA from 1 species